rnacentral:rRNA from 1 species
UACGAAGGGGGCUAGCGUUGCUCGGAAUCACUGGGCGUAAAGGGUGCGUAGGCGGGUCUUUAAGUCAGGGGUGAAAUCCUGGAGCUCAACUCCAGAACUGCCUUUGAUACUGAAGAUCUUGAGUUCGGGAGAGGUGAGUGGAACUGCGAGUGUAGAGGUGAAAUUCGUAGAUAUUCGCAAGAACACCAGUGGCGAAGGCGGCUCACUGGGACGGUAUUGACGCUGAGACGCGAAAGCGUGGGGAGCAAACAGGAUUAGAAUCCACCGUAG